rnacentral:rRNA from 1 species
UACGUAGGGUGCGAGCGUUGUCCGGAAUUAUUGGGCGUAAAGGGCUCGUAGGCGGUUUGUCGCGUCGGGAGUGAAAUCCACUGGCUUAACUGGUGGCUUGCUUUCGAUACGGGCAGACUGGAGGUAUGCAGGGGAGAACGGAAUUCCUGGUGUAGCGGUGAAAAGCGCAGAUAUCAGGAGGAACACCGGUGGCGAAGGCGGUUCUCUGGGCAUGUCCUGACGCUGAGGAGCGAAAGUGUGGGGAGCGAACAGG